UCCUGGCUUAGGAUGAACGCUGGCGGCGUGCCUAACACAUGCAAGUCGAACGGAGUAAUUAAGCGGAAGCCUCGGAUGGAAGCAUAGCUACUUAGUGGCGGACGGGUGAGUAACGCGUGGGCAACCUGCCCUGUACCGGGGGAUAACACUUAGAAAUAGGUGCUAAUACCGCAUAAGCGCACAGCUUCGCAUGAAGCCGUGUGAAAAACUCCGGUGGUACAGGAUGGACCCGCGUCUGAUUAGCUAGUUGGUGGGGUAGAGGCCUACCAAGGCGACGAUCAGUAGCCGGCCUGAGAGGGUGACCGGCCACAUGGGACUGAGACACGGCCCAAACUCCUACGGGAGGCAGCAGUGGGGAAUAUUGCACAAUGGGGGAAACCCUGAUGCCAGCGACGCCGCGUGAGUGAAGAAGUAUUUCGGUAUGUAAAGCUCUAUCAGCAGGGAAGAAAAUGACGGUACCUGACUAAGAAGCCCCGGCUAACUACGUGCCAGCCGCGGC
rnacentral:rRNA from 1 species